rnacentral:misc_RNA from 1 species
GAUGAAGAACGGAGCGAAAUGCGAUACUUGGUGUGAAUUGCAGAAUCCCGUGAACCAUCGAGUCUUUGAACGCAAGUUGCGCCCGAAGCCAUCAGGUUGAGGGCACGUCUGCCUGGGCGUCACAUAUCGUUGCCCAAUGCCUAUUGCAGUGCAAUAGGAAUUUCUAGGGCGAAUGAUGGCUUCCCGUGAGCGUUGUUGCCUCGCGGUUGGUUGAAAAUCGAGUCCUUGGUAGGGUGUGCCAUGGUAGAUGGUGGUCGAGUUAGAACGAUACCGAUCAUGUGCAUGCUCCCCAAAAUAUGGCCUCUAUGACCCACACGCGUCUUUUGACGCUCAUGACGAGACCUCAGGUCAGGGGGGGCUACCAGCUGAAUUUAAGCAUAUCAAUAAGCGGAGGA